GCCGGAGUGGCGGAACGGCAGACGCGUCGGACUCAAAAUCCGAUGGAGGCAACUCCGUGGGGGUUCAAGUCCCUUCUCCGGCACCA
rnacentral:tRNA from 2 species